rnacentral:misc_RNA from 1 species
GGGGAGAAGUCGUAACAAGGUAGCCGUAGGGGAACCUGCGGCUGGAUCACCUCCUUUCUAAGGAUGGCUCUUCAGAAGCUUGCUUCUAUCGAGCUGUUUUAGAAACAUCAGUGGCCAACAGAUCGCCAGAUCGUUGAGCUGCAUUGGCGGGAUUUCGCCGUCUUCGUUUCUCUUUCUUCGCGGACGAACACGCGCUGGGGCUGCAAGCAUGCAGAAUCCCCGGUCCUUAACAGGAUAAGCGUUAGGGGCUUGUAGCUCAGUUGGUUAGAGCGCGCGCUUGAUAAGCGUGAGGUCGGAAGUUCAAGUCUUCCCAGGCCCACCACUUUCAUCGAGUGAGCAUUCGUCUUCUGGUUACGGGGCCAUAGCUCAGCUGGGAGAGCGCGUGCUUUGCAAGCAUGAGGUCGUCGGUUCGAUCCCGUCUGGCUCCACCAGAUGGUUUGAUCACCGAGAUCUUGUACCGUCGUCCGCGAAACAUCACUUCGCAUCCUGCUAGUCUGGAUAGACAGCAAGAUGCGUGUUUUCUGACAUCGUAAAGAGGAGAUCGAUCCGAGUUGGGUCGUGUAGCAGAUUGCUGCGCGGAUCCUUCAUUAUCUCCGGAUCAUUUUCGGCGCUCGGCGCCGACCGCAAGGUUGGCUGUCGAGUUGUAAAAUGAUCCUUUUAGCGAAGCUUGACCGCCUCGCUAUCGGAACGAUCUUACGAAGCAAGCUGGUCUUUCUAGUCAAUGUCCGGCUGCAGAUAGCGUUCAUCGAGGGCGCGUGCCGCAAGGCAAUUCUGCAGACAACAUUCUGCCGAGUGUGUGGACAUUGAUAAUGAGAGCAAUCAAGUGCCUUAAGGGUGUUCGGUGGAUGCCUUGGCGCUGAGAGGCGAUGAAGGA